UACGUAGGGUGCGAGCGUUAAUCGGAAUUACUGGGCGUAAAGAGUGCGUAGGCGGAUAUAUAAGUUAGAUGUGAAAUACCUGGGCUUAACCUGGGAGGUGCAUUUAAGACUGUAUGUCUAGAGUUUGUCAGAGGGGGGUAGAAUUCCAAGUGUAGCAGUGAAAUGCGUAGAGAUUUGGAGGAAUACCGAUGGCGUAGGCAGCCCCCUGGGAUAAGACUGACGCUGAGGCACGAAAGCGUGGGUAGCAAACAGGAUUAGAUACCCUGGUAGUCCACGCCCUAAACGAUGUCUACUUGCUGUUGGGGGUAAAACCUUAGUAGCGAAGCUAACGCGAGAAGUAGACCGCCUGGGGAGUACGGUCGCAAGAUUA
rnacentral:rRNA from 1 species